rnacentral:sRNA from 1 species
CCUAUGAGACCGGGUGCCAUGGCCAUCCCCAGCAGCUGAUCAUAAUUGGCUUAAACAAAUUAGGAUUUAUUGCUUGGGGUUCUGUUAGCAAAAGAAAGGGAUAAUUAUCUGUAUUAAUAGACAGUUAAUAAUGUCUCCCAUAGGGAGUACCAAACAAUGACAAUGACAGAAACCAGUUUUCGAGUAUAUGCACUGUAUCACUCCCUCCCCACCACUGCCCACUCACUCUCCACUAGACCUCACAUCCAGGUAUUAGCUUCUAUGCACAGAGACUUACCUCUUACCUAUUCAACUUUAAUUGCUGGUAUCAACAAAAUACACUGCUUAGGCUUUAAGAUAUAGAAACCCUUCUGAAGGCUUUUUCACAAAAAGAAAAAAGAUUUUUGGUAUUUUUGCAUCUCAACUGUAAGUACAGGAAGUAUGUUCAGUAUGUAAUUUAGGGCUGACCUUAUCGCUUACAUAAUUUUAACUAGGUAAUCAGACACAGUCAAAUGAAAAAUUACUAUACAUUUAGGAAAAGUAUUUUGUGCCAGUAGGAAAGUUCUUAUUCCCUGCAGCAGAGACUGACUCUUGGCCAGAGAUGGGAGAAAUAACUAAUUUAGUUUUAUUGUCUCUUUUUAUUGUCCCAAUAGUUGAAAUUGCCCACAACCACAGAAGGCAGAGUUAUCCUCGUUGAAGCAAGCUAACACAAAUGAGUUCUUUUUAGCAAACUUCUCUGUCUUGCCUAUUCUUUGGAUCAUAGCACAAGUUUUUGAGAGAUCUUUGAGAGAUCAGCUGAAUAAAUACAUAAGUGUUAGAGUUAACCUAAGACAUGAACCACAAAAGGAUCUAGGGGUGUCCUGAACAUGUUUCUUUCUUCUUCAAAGUCUUAUUCGAGUAUAUACAUCUGACUUGGAAUAAUAAUAUGAAUCUACAACUUCCUUAACAUUUCUGCAGUUUGCUGGCAGGAAUAGGUGCAUAUAUACCAGGACUUCAAGGUACUUACCUGCAUCCUUUAUCAAUUCUUUUUUCCCUUGCAAUACUCUAAUUAGUGUUCAACUAAUACAUAUAUAUAUAAUAUAUUAUAUUAUAUAUAUAUAUUUAUAUAUAUAUAUAUAUAUAUAUAGCUAAUGAUCUGCAAUAUCUUAUGUUCUUUCUUUUGUCCUAUUAGUUUGGUAUUUCCAUUCAGGACAUUUUAUCUCUGUGCAAAGACCGGAGUAGAAGCUGAUGAGUGGAUCAAGAUAUUACGCUGGAAAUUGUCACAAAUAAGAAAACAGCUCAACCAAGGGGAAGGCACGAUCCGAUCUCGGUCGUUCAUCUUUAAAUAGAUCUUUCUUGCCAAGGAAUGCUCUGGCCCAGGAGCAAGGUGGAAUGUUUCCCUGACGCUGUGAUUUGCAGCAGGCUUCAAAUGAAAACCGACUAAGGAUUUUCUUUCAAAAACAAAUCAGAAGCAGAUGCUGAUUGGGACCCAUAUACCACGUUGCUGACUCACGUUGCUGCCCUUCCAUGAUGUUGCCAUCUCCUUGAGAACACUGAAGCAAUCACCAUUCUGAUAGAAAGUGCUUAAACCACAACUCUUAGGUCUGCUCACUCUUAGAACACACAAUGGAAGAGGAAAGGUUUUUGUUUUCACUCAUUGUGGUCCCCAAGCCUAUUGACACUAGUUGCCUAGAGUCCCACUGUGAGUCAUGGUCAGCCUGUCUGACAUCCAGGUUGUGCUAUUAACCAAGAAGGAAACAGAUACUUGGAGGCUUAGAUGACUUCCGCAGGAUUUAUAUUCAGAUAGAAAACAUCAAAUAUUUUCAGGGGAGAGGUUUUUUUUUUUAAUUUUUCCCUCUUUAUACAAAAAAAAAAGAACAUUUCCAAAACUAAAAUAGAAAAUGCUUGUGGCAUUUAUUUUCUCUUUUUAAAAGGUUCAGAAAUUUGGCAGGUCCUUUGCUUCUAAUGACAAAACUGUGAGAGCUAGAUGUCCUAUGGGCGAUUAGGUAGUAUAAUAAAGGUAAAUGAAGGUACAAUUUUUAAACCCUUAUUUUCACCCUGUUGGGGUAAAUGUUUUAGAGAGUGAGAAAACAUAAAUUGAGAAAGGGUGAUAAAGUAAUAGAUAACUUUUAGUUUAAUAAUAAUUAUUGUUAUUAUACUACUAAUAAUAGAGCACUUGUAAGCACUAAGUUAUCUUUAUCCAACAUUUCUCCAAAUGGACUGAAAGAAACUUUUCAAGGACAGUGUAUUAUAACAAUCCCUUUCCCAGAAUUAGUUGUAUAGGGUUGGCCCAAGAGAUAUAAGAAAAAUCUCGCAUUGCUCCCUAAGCACCCCGGGCCUUAUUAAAGAGCAACUUCUAUUUCCAGUUGGGGGAGUAACACUAAAGCUACAAGAAAUAUGUAAUAAUGAUAGGUAAUAAUGUGUUCCAAAGCUUUUUCAAACUAGAAUAAGGAGACAAAUAGAAGAAUGAGAUACUGAUGUCCACAGUUCAUUGGCAGAAUCUAACCCCUUCUGUUAUCUUUUUUAAUACUAUUUUUGUUUAGAUAGAAGUUUCAAAGAAGAUAAAAAUGCUUGAAGAGCCUGAGAGUAAAAAGAUUAUGCUGCAAAGCUAUGAUAUAAACUGCUCUUGCAGUCCAAAGGGAUACCUGAUUAAAGAAGUUUCUUAUUUAAACAUCUCAGACGCAAAAAUUACAUUAAAUUUUUGUAUAUUUCAACAACAUUUUAAAUGUAUUUUGUUAUGUUUGUAUUAUAUAGGAUAAAGCAAAUGUCAAGUUAAAA